GGGGGAACCUGAUCCAGCCAUGCCGCGUGUGUGAAGAAGGCCUUAUGGUUGUAAAGCACUUUAAGCGAGGAGGAGGCUCUUUUGGUUAAUACCCAAGAUGAGUGGACGUUACUCGCAGAAUAAGCACCGGCUAACUCUGUGCCAGCAGCCGCGGUAAUACAGAGGGUGCAAGCGUUAAUCGGAUUUACUGGGCGUAAAGCGCGCGUAGGCGGCCAAUUAAGUCAAAUGUGAAAUCCCCGAGCUUAACUUGGGAAUUGCAUUCGAUACUGGUUGGCUAGAGUGUGGGAGAGGAUGGUAGAAUUCCAGGUGUAGCGGUGAAAUGCGUAGAGAUCUGGAGGAAUACCGAUGGCGAAGGCAGCCAUCUGGCCUAACACUGACGCUGAGGUGCGAAAGCAUGGGGAGCAAACAGGAUUAGAUACCCUGGUAGUCCAUGCCGUAAACGAUGUCUACUAGCCGUUGGGGCCUUUGAGGCUUUAGUGGCGCAGCUAACGCGAUAAGUAGACCGCCUGGGGAGUACGGUCGCAAGACUAAAACUCAAAUGAAUUGACGGGGGCCCGCACAAGCGGUGGAGCAUGUGGUUUAAUUCGAUGCAACGCGAAGAACCUUACCUGGCCUUGACAUAGUAGAAACUUUCCAGAGAUGGAUUGGUGCCUUCGGGAAUCUACAUACAGGUGCUGCAUGGCUGUCGUCAGCUCGUGUCGUGAGAUGUUGGGUUAAGUCCCGCAACGAGCGCAACCCUUUUCCUUACUUGCCAGCAUUUCGGAUGGGAACUUUAAGGAUACUGCCAGUGACAAACUGGAGGAAGGCGGGGACGACGUCAAGUCAUCAUGGCCCUUACGGCCAGGGCUACACACGUGUUACAAUGGUCGGUACAAAGGGUUGCUACCUAGCGAUAGGAUGCUAAUCUCAAAAAGCCGAUCGUAGUCCGGAUUGGAGUCUGCAACUCGACUCCAUGAAGUCGGAAUCGCUAGUAAUCGC
rnacentral:rRNA from 1 species